GACCUGUUCCCCUUGGCUCCUCCUGGGGGCGCUAUAACAGAAGUUAACCAACAACAUCAAUCUGAAACAUGGACUCAGCUCUGCUCCCUCCUCAGACUCCGCCUGCCGCCUCCCAUUGGUCCUCCUUUCCUCCCUCUUCCCUUUUUAACCUAAAGGGGAAAACAACACAAAUAGAAAAACAACACAAAAAAAAGUAACCAUUAUAUCUGAAAGACGUAAGAGAUGUACAAAUGAAAUAAAAGGACAGCUGAACAAUAUGUUAAAAGGGUUAUCUGGGUUAUCAGGGAGACACACCCCCUGAGGUCAGGGAGCCACGCCCCCUGAGGUCAGGGAGCCACGCCCCCUGAGGUCAGGGAGACACGCCCCCUGAGGUCAGGGAGCCACGCCUCCUGAGGUCAGGGAGACACACCCCCUGAGGUCAGGGAGACCCCCCCCAGAGGUCAGGGAGAUACUCCCCCUUAGGUCAGGGAGACACACCCCCUGAGGUCAGGGAGCCACGCCCCCAGAGGUCAGGGAGACACACCCCCUGAGGUCAGGGAGCCACGCCCCCUGAGGUCAGGGAGAUACUCCCCCUUAGGUCAGGGAGCCACGCCCCCUGAGGUCAGUGACCGUCUGCAAUGUCCACCGUAUCUGUUAGAGCCAGAGAGAGAGAGAGAGAGAGAGAGAGAGAGAGACAGAGACAGAGACAGAGAGAGAGAGAGAGAGAGAGAGAGAGACAGAGACAGAGACAGAGAGAGAGACAUUAAAAACAGACCCACUCAGCGUCGUGAGCCACUACUCACCGCAGCCCUACCAGAGGGCCGAUGGCAGCGCGUUGCAGCAGACCUCUGAACACUAGAAAAGCAGAAUUACCUCGUGGUAACGGACUAUUACUCAAGGGACCUCGAAAUUGCU
ensembl:lncRNA